UACGAAGGGGGGCUAGCGUUGCUCGGAAUUACUGGGCGUAAAGCGCACGUAGGCGGUCUUUUAAGUCGGGGGUGAAAUCCUGGAGCUCAACUCCAGAACUGCCUUCGAUACUGGAAGACUCGAGUCCGGGAGAGGUCGAGUGGAACUGCGAGUGUAGAGGUGAAAUUCGUAGAUAUUCGCAAGAACACCAGUGGCGAAGGCGGCUCACUGGCCCGGUACUGACGCUGAGGUGCGAAAGCGUGGGGAGCAACAGG
rnacentral:rRNA from 1 species